rnacentral:tRNA from 1 species
CGCCUGUAGCUCAGUAGGAUAGAGCAACUGCCUUCUAAGCAGUUGGUGAGGGGUUCGAGUCCCUUCAGGCGCGCCAA